UUCCAGUCCCUCCAGUGUUUUAUGCAGUUCAAUGUUUAGUCUUUUAUAUGAAGGUGGAAAAUGGAGGAAGGUGAAGUUCACCUGUUCCCAACCCCUUUUGUGUCUGUGAGCCAGAUCAACCUGGAAGUGGAUGCAUGAAACUAUCAGAAGAGCCAAUUCUGGAAACAUAACAAGGAGAUUCCCUGGCACUAGCAGAAAAACAGGGCUGCAGCUGUGUGUAACAGCUUACAGAGUGUGCAUCAGUUUGUGGAAGGGUGGCAGCAUGACAACUGCAACAAGGUCACAGCCUGCUGCUUGACAAUGGAAAUCAGUAGUUCACAGGGUGACAGAUUAACAGCAUGUGUCUUUUGGAUAAAAGUUGCUGAGCAUUUCUCGGAGAUGCCGAGAAACAACUGCAAAACAAGACAGUGGAGAAGGCCAUAGCACAUGCUUUGGAAGGAACAGGUUCAAGGUUCAACUCUGAACAUCUCCCCUUAAAGCAGGGGUAGACAAUGCUUGCCCCUCCAGAUGCUUCCGGAUUACAACAAUAAUUGUUCCUCACAACUGGCUUGAAUCUAAAGUUGCCACAAUCCAAAGACAUCUGCAAGGCUACAGUUAAAACACCUUAGGAAGAAUUGUCAUGUGCGGCAUCAGACUGCAGAAACUUUGGCCCCAUCAGAUAUUGUCUAAUGCAAUUCCCAACAGUCCUAACAAGCAUAGCACUGGUGAGGGAUGAUAGGAGUUAAAAUCUAGCAACAUUUAAAGACUUACAAGUUCCCUGAGGUAGAGACUGUUGGGCUAGGUAGUGUACUAUAAGGCAGUUUCAUGUGUUCAUGACUAAGACCACUCCUGGAAAUAUGAUAUGAAUACAACAUUCUACUCAUGGGACAGAUGGGAAACAAUCUCCAAGG